rnacentral:rRNA from 1 species
UACGUAGGCAGCGAGCGUUGUUCGGAAUUACUGGGCGUAAAGAGUGUGUAGGCGGUGCUCUAAGUUCGGUGUGAAAUCUCCUGGCUUAACUGGGAGGGUGCGCCGGAAACUGGAGUGCUCGAACGUGGGAGAGGAAAGCGGAAUUCCUGGUGUAGUGGUGAAAUGCGUAGAUAUCAGGAGGAACACCUGCGGUGUAGACGGCUUUCUGGACCAUUGUUGACGCUGAGACACGAAAGCGUGGGUAGCAAACAGG